rnacentral:rRNA from 1 species
UACGUAGGGUGCAAGCGUUGUCCGGAAUUAUUGGGCGUAAAGAGCUCGUAGGCGGCUUGUUGCGUCGGCUGUGAAAUCCCGAGGCUCAACCUCGGGUCUGCAGUCGAUACGAGCAAACUAGAGUGUUGCAGGGGAGACUGGAAUUCCUGGUGUAGCGGUGAAAUGCGCAGAUAUCAGGAGGAACACCUGCGGUGUAGGCGGCUUUCUGGACCAUUGCUGACGCUGAGACACGAAAGCGUGGGUAGCAAACAGG